rnacentral:tRNA from 1 species
UCUAAUAAUUUUUAAAAAUACCUACUUUGGAUGUAGGAAAUUCGAAAAUAAAAAUAA